rnacentral:tRNA from 1 species
GCGGGAGUAGCUCAAGUGGCUAGAGCAUCAGCCUUCCAAGCUGAGGGUUGUGGGUUCGAGUCCCAUUUCCCGCUCCA